rnacentral:tRNA from 1 species
GGAUGUUCAGUGGUAGAACGUCGCCGGCCACGCGGGCGGCCCGGGUUCGAUUCCCGUCCAAUUCA